UGAGUAACACGUAUCCAACCUGCCGUCUACUCUUGGCCAGCCUUCUGAAAGGAAGAUUAAUCCAGGAUGGGAUCAUGAGUUCACAUGUCCGCAUGAUUAAAGGUAUUUUCCGGUAGACGAUGGGGAUGCGUUCCAUUAGAUAGUAGGCGGGGUAACGGCCCACCUAGUCAACGAUGGAUAGGGGUUCUGAGAGGAAGGUCCCCCACAUUGGAACUGAGACACGGCCCAA
rnacentral:rRNA from 1 species